UACGGGGGGUGCAAGCGUUGUUCGGAAUUACUGGGCGUAAAGCGCUCGUAGGUGGUCAACUAAGUCAUACGUGAAAUCCCUCGGCUUAACCGGGGAACUGCGCCUGAUACUGGUUGACUUGAGUUUGGGAGAGGGACGCGGAAUUCCAGGUGUAGCGGUGAAAUGCGUAGAUAUCUGGAGGAACACCGGUGGCGAAGGCGGCGUCCUGGACCAAUACUGACACUGAGGAGCGAAAGCCAGGGGAGCAAACGGG
rnacentral:rRNA from 1 species